rnacentral:piRNA from 1 species
UCUGAUAACUGUACUAUUGGAGAACUGC